rnacentral:rRNA from 1 species
CGCUGGAGAACUGAGGGGGGCUGCUCCUAGUACGAGAGGACCGGAGUGGACGCAUCACUGGUGUUCGGGUUGUCAUGCCAAUGGCACUGCCCGGUAGCUAAAUGCGGAAGAGAUAAGUGCUGAAAGCAUCUAAGCACGAAACUUGCCCCGAGAUGAGUUCUCCCUGAGACUUAGAGUCUCCUGAAGGAACGUUGAAGACGACGACGUUGAUAGGCCGGGUGUGUAAGCGCAGCGAUGCGUUGAGCUAACCGGUACUAAUGAACCGUGAGGCUUAACCUUAC